rnacentral:rRNA from 1 species
GAUGAACGCUGGCGGCGUGCCUAAUACAUGCAAGUCGAGCGAAUGGAUUAAGAGCUUGCUCUUAUGAAGUUAGCGGCGGACGGGUGAGUAACACGUGGGUAACCUGCCCAUAAGACUGGGAUAACUCCGGGAAACCGGGGCUAAUACCGGAUAACAUUUUGAACCGCAUGGUUCGAAAUUGAAAGGCGGCUUCGGCUGUCACUUAUGGAUGGACGCGCGGCGCAUGAGCUAGUUGGUGAGGUAACGGGUCAUCAAGGCAACGAGGCGUAGCCGACCUGAGAGGGUGAUCGGCCACACUGGGACUGAGACACGGCCCAGACUCCUACGGGAGGCAGCAGUAGGGAAUCUUCCGCAAUGGACGAAAGUCUGACGGAGCAACGCCGCGUGAGUGAUGAAGGCUUUCGGGUCGUAAAACUCUGUUGUUAAGGAAGAACAAGUGCUAGUUGAAUAAGCUGGCACCUUGACGGUACCUAACCAGAAAGCCACGGCUAACUACGUGCCAGCAGCCGCGGUAA